AACGAACGCUGGCGGCGCGCCUAAAACAUGCAAGUCGAACGAGAAAGCUCUUCGGAGUGAGUAGAGUGGCGCACGGGUGAGUAACACGUGGAUAACCUACCUCUUAGACGGGGAUAACAUUCCGAAAGGAAUGCUAAUACCGGAUGAUGUGAGAAAUUCAGUGGAGAAUUUUUCAUUAAAUCAUGGUCCUGCUAUGGCUAGGAGAGGGGUCUGCGUCCCAUUAGCUUGUUGGUGAGGUAACGGCUCAUCCAAGGCUUUGAUGGGUAGCUGAUUUGAGAGAAUGAUCAGUCACACUGGAACUGAAACACGGUCCAG
rnacentral:rRNA from 1 species